rnacentral:rRNA from 1 species
UAGAGUUUGAUCCUGGCUCAGAACGAACGCUGGCGGCGUGCCUAACACAUGCAAGUCGAACGGAUUUAUUGUUGUAGCAAUACAAUAAUAGAUUAGUGGCGCACGGGUGAGUAACACGUAGUUAACCUACCCUUGAGUGGGGGACAACCCAGGGAAACUUGGGCUAAUACCGCAUAAGACCACGAGCUGGGAUGCUUGAGGUCAAAGCCGCAAGGCGCUUAAGGAUGGGACUGCGGCCUAUCAGGUAGUUGGUGAGGUAGAGGCUCACCAAGCCUAUGACGGGUAGCCGGACUGAGAGGUCGAACGGCCACACUGGAACUGAGACACGGUCCAGACUCCUACGGGAGGCAGCAGUGGGGAAUCUUGCACAAUGGGCGAAAGCCUGAUGCAGCGACGCCGCGUGGAGGAUGAAGGCCUUCAGGUUGUAAACUCCUUUUGCAGGGGAAGAUAAUGACGGUACCCUGCGAAUAAGCCACGGCUAACUCUGUGCCAGCAGCCCCGGUCA